AAUCACCCGGGCUCCCCCCUUCCUGCCCACUCACCUGCACCGCACGAAGCCCCCCGGGUUCGUGUAGGCCCCCGUGGCGAUGCUCUUUCUUUGCUCUCCGCAUUCCUGCCGGCUGUUCGCACCCAAAUUGCUCCAAACCGGGACCUUCGGGGGGAUGGAGCAGCCCCGGGGGGAGCAGCCCCGGGACCCCCGGGGGUCACCGCGCAUCGCCGGGACCGGGACGAGGAAAGGGGACACGAGCUAGGGACGGGGUUUGGAUGGCUCUGGGGGCUCUGUCUGUCCGUCCCUCUGUCUGUCCGUCCCUGUCUGUCCGUCCGCGUGCCCGCGUGCGCGUGCCCGCGCCGCCGCCGCCGCCCCCGCGAGCGGGCGCUACCGGCUGCGGCGCGGCCCCGGCGGGCGGCGGGAGCAUGGAGGCGGCGGCGGGGCCAGGUGAGGAGGCACCGGGCAGGGGUCGGGGCCGGGGUCGGGGCGAGCAGCAGGGUUAAGGGGUCGCUGGAGGGGUUCCUGGGGGCCGCUGCCCGCUGCUCGUUGUCUGGGGGGGGGGGGUUUCUACGAAGCCCGCUGCCCGCUCGGGCCGCCCCAAGGCGAGAGCGGGCGUCCCGAAAUCGCCCUGCAUCACGGCACGCUGAGAUCCCGGGUGCCUGCAUCCUGAAAUCGCGGGUCUCUGCCUCCCUGCCGCUCUGCAUCCCUGCUUCCUUGCAUCCCGGGUCCCUGCAUCCCGAAAUCCCGGGUCCCGGCAUCACAGCAUCCCGAAAUCCUGGGUCCCUGCACCCUGAAAUCCCGGGUCCCUUCGUCACUGCCUCCCUGCAUCCCGAGUCCCUGCAUCCCGAAAUCCUGGGUCCCUGCAUCCCAAAAUCCCAGGUCCCUGCAUCCUGGCAUCCUGGGUCCCUGCAUCACAGCAUCCCAAAAUGCCGGCGUCCCUGCAUCCCAGGUCCCCGCAUCCCUUCACCCCAGCAUCGCAGCAUCCCCGGUCCCUGCCUCCCUGCAUCCAAAAAUCCUGGGUCCCUGCAUCCCGGCACCCUGGUCCCUGCCUCCCUCCAUCCCUCCCGGCACCCCAAAACCAGCGACCGUACGCAGCAGCGCUGGGAGUACCCCCCGGGCAUACCGCCUUCCCCGAAGGGAAAGGAAAUGAUUUGGGGGGCUUGA
rnacentral:lncRNA from 1 species